UGGUAGUCCACGCUGUAAACGAUGUCGAUUUGAAGGUUGUUCCCUUGAGGAGUGGCUUUCGGAGCUAACGCGUUAAAUCGACCGCCUGGGGAGUACGGCCGCAAGGUUAAAACUCAAAUGAAUUGACGGGGGCCCGCACAAGCGGUGGAGCAUGUGGUUUAAUUCGAUGCAACGCGAAGAACCUUACCUACUCUUGACAUCCAGAGAACUUAGCAGAGAUGCUUUGGUGCCUUCGGGAACUCUGAGACAGGUGCUGCAUGGCUGUCGUCAGCUCGUGUUGUGAAAUGUUGGGUUAAGUCCCGCAACGAGCGCAACCCUUAUCCUUUGUUGCCAGCGAUUCGGUCGGGAACUCAAAGGAGACUGCCGGUGAUAAACCGGAGGAAGGUGGGGAUGACGUCAAGUCAUCAUGGCCCUUACGAGUAGGGCUACACACGUGCUACAAUGGCGUAUACAAAGAGAAGCGACCUCGCGAGAGCAAGCGGAACUCAUAAAGUACGUCGUAGUCCGGAUUGGAGUCUGCAACUCGACUCCAUGAAGUCGGAAUCGCUAGUAAUCGUAGAUCAGAAUGCUACGGUGAAUACGUUCCCGGGCCUUGUACACACCGCCCGUCACACCAUGGGAGUGGGUUGCAAAAGAAGUAGGUAGCUUAACCUUCGGGAGGGCGCUUACCACUUUGUGAUUCAUGACUGGGGUGAAGUCGUA
rnacentral:rRNA from 1 species